GGGUUGUGAGGUUAAGCGACUAAGCGUACACGGUGGAUGCCUAGGCAGUCAGAGGCGAUGAAGGACGCGCUAAUCUGCGAAAAGCGUCGGUAAGCUGAUAUGAAGCGAUAUAGCCGGCGAUGUCCGAAUGGGGAAACCCAGUGCAAUGCGUUGCACUAUCAUUAACUGAAUCCAUAGGUUAAUGAGGCGAACCGGGGGAACUGAAACAUCUCAGUACCCCGAGGAAAAGAAAUCAACCGAGAUUCCCCCAGUAGCGGCGAGCGAACGGGGAGGAGCCCAGAACCAGCAUCAGCCACAGCAUCAGAGGAACGGUCUGGAAAGGCCGGCGAGAGAGGGUGACAGCCCCGUACUCGAAGAUGGCGUGGUUGUGAGUUCGAUGAGUAAGGCGGGACACGAGAAAUCCUGUCUGAAGAGGGGGGGACCAUCCUCCAAGGCUAAAUACUCCUGACUGACCGAUAGUGAACCAGUACCGUGAGGGAAAGGCGAAAAGAACCCCGGCGAGGGGAGUGAAAGAGAACCUGAAACCGUGUACGUACAAGCAGUGGGAGCCUUGAUGAAUCAGGGUGACUGCGUACCUUUUGUAUAAUGGGUCAGCGACUUAUAUUCUGUAGCAAGGUUAACCGAAUAGGGGAGCCGCAGGGAAACCGAGUCUUAACUGGGCGAAAUGAGUUGCAGGGUAUAGACCCGAAACCCGGUGAGCUAGCCAUGGGCAGGUUGAAGGUUGGGUAACACUAACUGGAGGACCGAACCGACUAAUGUUGAAAAAUUAGCGAAUGACUUGUGGCUGGGGGUGAAAGGCCAAUCAAACCGGGAGAUAGCUGGUUCUCCCCGAAAGCUAUUUAGGUAGCGCCUCGUGAGUUCAUCUUCGGGGUAGAGCACUGUUUCGGCUAGGGGGCCAUCCCGGCUUACCAACCCGAUGCAAACUGCGAAUACCGAAGAAUGUCAUCACGGGAGACACACGGCGGGUGCUAACGUC
rnacentral:rRNA from 1 species